CUCUUCCUACUCCCAAAAUGGCCUUGUUCGGCGGACAAGUUUUUUGCCAAGUUUAUCUGCUACAAGUUUUUUAAAAACUUUAGCUACAGUAAUCUCAAAAAAAUUUUCAAAGUUUUUAAACUAUACAUUUCAAAAUAUUAAAAAAAAAACUUCUACAGUAAGUUACAGUAAAAUUUUAGACAAACACCCAAAAAAUUUACUUGCCAAUCCUGAACCCGACUGCGACGGGAACUUUAAAAGUCCUCCCCUCCCUUGAUCAUUGGUGCCGACAGUCCUUGUUGAUAAGGGAUCUAGAAACAUUAAUAUAAAUCUGUACAAAAUGUUGUGAUGGGCUGCCAUAGCCUUGGGAUAAGAUAACUUUCCCACCCCCUAAAAUUUUUCCUUACCAAAGUAAAGACAAAAAGAAAGAAAAAAGUAAAGGUUGGAGAUGGUUGAUUUGAAAUUGAAUAAACUGGAUUCUGUGUGGAGCAUAAAUUCUAAUAAGUAACAAAAUUUGUUGUAUUUUUACAUAUUGUGCUUUUUACAGUUUAUAUUUGUUGUUUUCAGCGUCAUACUGCUGCAUACGUCGUUCUGCGAAAUUGUGACUGAAUUUUGUCAAACUAGAUGGGGGAGUGUUGGAAAAAAUGUUCAACACAAUAUGAUUGUACAUCAAGAAUUAUGUAAAAAAUUCUCUGCUAGUAGACCUAAAAUUCAGCAUUUUAGAAGUGGAAUGGAAAGUAUGAACCUAAACAAUUAGGUGAAUUCAGCAAGAGACAAGUUUCUCGUGAAAAGGAUGACUAUUAAUUAUAUAUAGUGCUACCGACACUUGAAUUCUUAUACAAAGCCCAUGGUAAAUGUGUCACAUAAUGGUGAAGCAUAUUGGUAAAUAAGAUUGAUUGACAACAUUGCAUAUUGGAACGUUGAGGUGUGGACUUGAAUGUAUCCAAUGUUGAAACAGCCAAGAAAUUAAAUACUCAAAUAAAAUUUACAAAUCUAAAAGGAGGGCAUUCAAUCAUUUUAAAACUGUUUUUUUUUUUUUUUGCUUUCUUGUAAAUCAAUUUGGAUCUAUGCAGAAAAACAGUAGUGACACAAUUUUAAAGUUUUAUUUCAGACAUCCACACAAUUAUGAUUAAGAACUCGCGCUUGAUUUUUUUUUUUCUUCCUUUCUGCACCUUUAUCAAAAAAAUUAAUCAUUCAAAAGAAUAUAGAAUUUCUGCUUCAUACAACAUGGUGCAAUAAGUGAAGUAAAUGGUUUCAGACAAAAAUAUGAUACUAAUAUGGGCAUAGUUAGAUUAAACACUCCGAGUAUUGUUAAGGGAACUCAAUAAUCUCUUUUACAAUUUCUAAAAAAGCACAUAAAAAAAAAAGAAGUAGAAUGUCAUUAACAAAAAAUACACAAGGACGAAAUAUAAGAAAGAAUUCCUAGUUUAAUUUCAAGAACUUAUGAUUGAGAUUUUUACUUCUCCAACCCCAUAAACUAUGCUUGUCUUUUGCCACUGGUUUGAAUUUUCUCCAACCUCAUAUUCCACCAUAUUUGAAACAUUUUAAGGCGUCAGCAUCCAUGCCAGUGCAAUUCCAGCAAGACUCUCCAAGUAAUUAUUGAGUUUGUAAAACGACUGAUCUUGAAAGCGAUUAGCUUAAAUUAUUUAGAUGCAAACUGGCUACCUAUUUUAUGGUAUUGUCCUGUACGCGACAGUAGCAUUGACAACUACAUUGAAGUGAUAUAUUUUGGGAACCCAUAAAACCAUACUCUCAAAUUAGGCCUUAUUUCAAUUAGCAAGGGAAGCAAGGGAAACGUAUAGGUUAUGACUUGAAGAAAAAUAAGAGAAAAAAAAGUCCUAGUUCUCUCUACACGUUUGAGUGAGGUGACAAAUAUUUGACUCUUUUUUAGAAUCUAAGAGCGUUAGUAAUACCAUCAUUCACUAAAAUUUGAAGUACAUGCUUGUAUCAGUGAGUAUAUUUUUUACACGUUGAUAGUAUAAAAGUUCUUUUUCUUUUUACACGAAGAGGUAUGACAGGUGUGCAAUAAUGAAAUUUUAAAUUUGAACGAAGAUUGUUUGUCGUAUAUCUCAACCUAUUGGUGUAAAGAAUUCCUUACAUCGUCAUAGUCAAAAAAUGAAUUCCUAUGGCAUUUGCUUUCUUAAUAGUUCAUAUUUAAAGUUACCUUGUGGGUUCUACAUAGAUAAUGUAACUUAAAUAAAUAAUGAAUGUAUAAAACAAGAAAAGCUUUAAGUGAUCGUAGUUGUAAAACUCUAGAGGAUCCUAGGAUGAGAGCUGGCCUUAAUGUUUGUGCUUUUUGGGCAAUAAUUCUUUCCAAGAAUUUAUUUAUUUUUUUAAAAUAAAAAAAAAAGAACAUGAGCAGAGCGACUAGUCUUUAUCCUGUCUGGUAUUAUUUAGUGAUAAUCGUAUAUGGGUUACUUCUAGCGUGGAAAGUAGAUGAACUCCACCGUCGGCAGAUGAAGUAUUAACGAGACAACUCAGCAGCGUGGACAUCUUUCACAUGUCAAUUGGGGACCAAUUGAAAUAAGGCAACCGGCUGUAGGGUUGGCUUAACAAACCUGGCCUUGAUGAUGGAUGGAUGGAACCCGGAAAUCCUGAGUGAAUUAAUGAACUUUCUUGCAUCAAAACCUGAGUUUUGUUUUUAGUUAUUACUGACAAGGUGUUUAACAUAUCAGUCCGGUUUUCAUAAUUACGAUCCCGAACUUGACAUGCCAUGUUGGUACCAGCUGGGUUAUAGUUAUGAAAUUGGUUUCUUGUUAAUUAUUAUUACAAAAAAUAUUUAUAAUUGAAAAAGAUUCAAUUCUUGCAUACUAAAUAAUAAAUAUUUUUAGGAAAAAUCGUUUAAAAUGUCUUUCACAUUUCGUUAAAUGAAUUUUUUCAUCUUUUACUUUUAAAAUAUUAACUUUAUAUCUCUUACAAAUUCAAAUUCACAAUUUUUCGUCCCAACCUAAAUUUCAACCACUUUUUAGUCUAAAAUUAUCACAUGACUCAUAUGUAAUAAUUUUAUAUACAAAAAUGUCAAAUUUUACUUUUUUAGAGACAAAAAUAAAUAUAAAUUGACAAAAAUGAAUAUGGUAUCAAGUUAAAUCUUGCUUGUUUAUGUGCAAAAAUGAAUAUGAAUUUGAUCAUUUGUUUAAUUAUAAAUGGGAUAUAACUCUUUUGCCUACAAAAAAAUGAACUUUUCUUUUUGCCAUGAUAAAAACUACUUUUAUUUAACUAUCUAUAGCUACCCAUGACUAUUUUACUUUUAACUAUUUAAGUAUAUGUUUUCAACAUCACUACCCAUAAAUAUUAUAACUACUAAUAUAAAAUUAUUUUAUGAAAAAUAUUUAAAAGAUUAAAUUUUGUUUUGAUAAUAAAAAAAUUUAUUUAAAAUAUAUGAUCAUAAAUAUUAUAUAUUUUUUUAUUGCACACACAUUGGAUGUCCAUGAGCACUAGAUACAAUCGAAUUCCAAAUCUCACUCCUAGUGAUAAUGCAAUUGUUUCAAAUAGUGAAUAUCUCCCCUACUAAAUAAAUUAGAUUGUCCUAAACUAGGUCCUAAGUCUGCCAUUAGUUGUAAUGAACAUGACCGACUACAAAUCACAAAUUUGACAAGUGCAAUAUCAAAUUUCAAGUCUUUUUAACUAUUAAUAUUUUCCACUAGUUAUAAUGAAUACGAUGGAUUAUAAAUCACAAACCUGAUGAGUACACUAAAUUUAAGGCAUUUUAACUAUUAACUCGGAAGCAACAAUGUUUAGAUGUCAAAUUAUGCUCCCAUGUUCAAUUUAACGUAUUUAGAUAAGUGUUUAAAGUAUACACGAGGAUCAUUUUGAUUUGGGAUUUUUCAAGCACCCAAUGACUUAUUGUCACCUAGGUUUCUUUAAGUGCUCCAUCUUAAUAAUAGUGUACCUAUAUUUACACAAUCUUUACAUUUGCUUUUUGUUUAAAGUAAUUUAUCCAACUUUUAUCAUUUAACAUUUUUCCCUUUCUUUAUUUGUUCAAAAGCAAUUUUUUGUUCAUUGCACUUACCUUCUUUUUAUUAUGUUUUUCUUUUGUUUAAUGUAAUGUAGCCAACCUUUUUCCUUUUUUGUUUUAACAAAAAGAAACACCGUUAUUAUCUUAGAACCAUAGAGAAACUCAAGAAACAAGAUGAAAUAGUGGUUAAGCUACACAAAAAAAAAUGCACGCGAUUAACAUCUCAAAUUUGAGAGAUUUGAAUGAUGGGUAUAACAACAAAAUUAUAAGAUCAUAUGCUUCCAUACUGUGAAUUUCAUUUAUGCAUUUGGGAUUUGCAAGAAGUGUACAUACCUUUGAAUUGUCAAGAUUUCUAGGUUAUUUAUGAUUAUUUAUAUGGUAGAAUAAUUCACUAAUAUAAUUACUCGAUUGAAAAUUUUCAUGUACAUACCUUUGCGUAAUCAUCGAUAGUUGGGAUAGCCAUCACAUUUACAAAUUAUAAGAAUAGUAUUUUUCUUAAAGAAAAAAGAAAAAGUUGGUUAAAUUAUAUUAUAAAAGAAUUAAAAAGGAAAAAUGCAAUAAAGGAAAAAUGCUUUUGAACCAAUAAAUAGAAUUAAAAAAAUUAAAUGGCAAAAAUUUGAUAAAUUACUUUAAACAAAAUAGAAAAAAGACCACUUUAAAAUGUCUUUCGAAUUCCCAAAGAGAUAAAGAUGUCAUUUUAAAAUAAUUGGGAACGUUGCAUUAGGUAAAAAAAUCUCACGGAUGCUCGAACUGAAGACGCGAAAGCGACAUCUUUAUUCCUUCACGAAAAUAGGCUUUAUUUUAAGCAAGCGCCAAAAUUAAACUACGCCCCCUUAUUCAUUACCGGUUCUAGCCUGUCUUCGGUUGCAAAUUUCAUUUUUUUGUCUGUUUUCUGGCCCACCUAACUGUGUUGUCCUAUUCCUAUUACUUCUUCCCACCAUGCAAAGAUGACUCAGCUUUCCACCAUAGAAGCAACCAUAAUACAUGAUGGGAGCUGAACGAUUAGAAAAGACUUGAAAAAGACUUGGGUAGUAAGUGCCAACUGGAAGCUUACAGAAAAGUCAUCAUGUAACUAAGCGGCACAUGCAGCACGUGCAAUUGAAUCUUCCAUGUACGUGAAAUAGUAGUCCAAUUAUUAAUAAAAUUCACCGAAUUCUAACAUUACAGCAGUUUUUUUUUUUUUUUAAGAAAAGUACAAAAUUUAAUCAUUCAUUCCAAAUCAAAUCAAAUACCAUUGCAAAUCGAGUGGAGACAGAUAGUCUUAUCAUUAUUUAUGAACACUGCUCUGAUAUUAAUAUUUGAGCAGUGACGAUAGGGGGAGUAUUAGGUUGGUUGGUAGAUGGGACGGCUCGUAAGUAAGUAAGAAGUUUUAAAUUUAAAACUAUUUACUUACCAAAAAAAAAAAAAAGGGAGUAGCGACGAUGUGGUUUGUCUGAAUUUUUACCAAAGUAAAAGUACUGCUUGGCAUUGUUUAUUAAGAGUUCAAAAUUCUGGUUUCUAUUAUUUUCUAGUAGCAUUUUCAUGAGAAGAAUGUUGAAUUAUUCAAGAAGAUGUUUGACUUUUAAGCUUCUAUAGAAUGUGUUUUCUUUUUUUAAAUUUAAAUUUUAAAUUCAAAUUCAAAUUAACUAUCAUGUAUCAUGUAUCGAAUGAUAAUAGUGUAUAUAAUAUUAGAAGAUAAAUCCUAUUUUUAAUUACUAAUUCUUUGGAACUCUUCCGAGUUCCAACCAUUACUUUGCCAAUCUGUUCCUGAAUUGUUGGUUGAAUGAGUUCUGGUUUGUGUACAAUGUCCUUGCGGGACAACUUUUCUUUCAAUAACAAGCAAACUUGUUUUGGCCACUCGUACAAUAAGUUUAUCUAUCUAGCUAGUUUUAUUAUAAAAAAAAAAAAAGAAGGAUGUAUUAUACUCGAUUUAAUUUAAUAUAAGCGAGUUUUAGUUUGCUCAAGUUUGAGGUGGGCUCUUCCUUUCCUGAUACCUUCCUGUUACAUGCCUUUUGUACAGCACGCUUUGGCACAUUUGUCCGACAGAACUAGGACUACGACUACGACUACGCACGAAUCGAACUGUUUACGAGAAAUUCAUACUCGAGUUCGAUAUUGUUUGGACUCGAGUUCCAUGUUGUUCAAACUCAAACUCAAGGUCAAAGAUAUUCAACUCAUUAGCUCACGAACCGGCUUAAUUAUAUAUAUAUAUAUAUAUAUAUUAUUUUAAUAAUAAAAUUACAUAUAUAUUUUUAAUAUUUGUUAGGAAAAUUUAUUAUUUUAUUUAUUUAUUUAAAUAAAUAAAUUAUUUUUAAAAUUUUUUUAAACUCGAACUCAAGUUCAAUCUUUACAUUGAGAACUCGUCGAGUUCAAGAUCAAGUUCGAAUUUUAUAAAACUAAGUUAAAACUCGAUUCGAUUAGAUCAAAACUCGACUUGAUUUAGUUCGUUUGCACCCCUAGAUAGAACUUUUUGUUCAAAAAUAUUUAUAACCCCUAAAUUAUUUAAUUAUUUAGAAGCUUUUCUAUUUGCAUUUUCUAAAAAAAAAUGUGUCAGAACAAUUCUACAGCAGAACUGGACAUUGUUCCCAUUAUAAUAUAGGAUAUUAGCUUGCACUCAGUAACCAAGGAAACAAAUUUUACUAAGCUAGAUGUUAGAUUCCUUUGGUUUGUUUGUUUGUUUGUUUUUAAAACAAUAUGUGCUAGAUUUUUCUUCCAUUUCUUUUAUUAAAAUCUCAGCUCACAUUGUGUUGUUGAAUAUAGGGCUGUAAACAAAUCGAGCCCUUAACAAAACAAUUCAAACUCAAUUCGUUAAGGGUUUGAUUCGAAUUUCAUUUUGAAUAAGUUCGAAUUCAAAUUCGAAUCAGUGUUAGGAUUAGAUGAAAGUGUCAAUUCGAAAUUGAACUUGUAUACAUUCAGCUUGUUAAGGUCCGAAUACACUUUUUAUAUUUUUAUUUAAUAGAUAAAUAUUUUAUACAUAAUAAUACAUUUAUUAUUUAAUUUUAUAGAUAUUAUAUAUCUAUUAUUGAUAAACAAUAUUUAAAUAUAAAAAAUAGAUAAAAUUUCGGGCUCUCGAAUCAAACUCAAACCUAUUGAAUAUUACAUCUAAUCUUGUUUGAGUUUAAAUUUUAAUCUUUUAUAGGAUUCGAAUUCAAAUUCGAGUUUGAGUCCAAAAUUUCAAAUUAAACCUGAGAGCUUCAAAGUUCGAUUCAGUUCAAUUCAUUUACAGCUCUUAGUUUAUAAGUCAGAAUCUUGGUUUUUCUGGGUCAUAUCUACCUUGUAUAUAAGAAGAAAGCCAAGUUACUAUUGCAACCCAUCUUUUUGACACAUGUAUUACAUAUAUUUUUGACAAGUGGAGCUAAAUUUUUCCUUCCCUUUUUUGAUUCAAUUGGGUCAAAAGGAUUAAAAUGUUUUUUCUCCUUCAAAAAAUCAACUCCAUCUCUUCUUCUUCUUCUUCUUGCGGCAACUACUAUCAUCCCUUACUUUUUUUUUUAUUUUUUUAAACUAAUCUAACUAAGAUUGUUUCCAUGUCCUUUUUUUGUCGAGAUGAUUAACUACUUAACAAAAAGAAAUCUUUAUUAUUUUUUUCAUCCCAUUUUAUGUUUUCUUUUCUUCCUUUUUUUCUUCAUCUCUAAUCUCUCUUGUUUGCUUUAUUCUUCGAUCAUAAUGUUAUAGCCAACAGGCAUUUGUUUGUUAAAUUUAUAAGAUGAUGUUGUUAUUUGGUAUUUCUUCAUGGAUAAAAGGUGAAAUAUUAAAAUAUGUAAAAAGAUCUUACAAUUCAUUUUAUACUAGUGAUCAUCUUUUAUGAAGAAUAAAACAAAAAUUCAUUCUUUUAUUUUCUCCUCCCAUGAUUUGAUUUGUUACUUCAUAUUUUUUUUUCCUUUUCUUUGUUUUUUGGUUACAUUUUAUAAUUAUCUACAAUUUUGUCUAUUCUUUUAGGAGAAAGAUAUAUCAUGCGAUACUUCCACCAAGAUAAAUCUAGUUAGGCAUUCUUCUACCUCUGUUUCUUUCUUUUCACCCCCUUUUUGCAAUUACUUUAUGGUCUAUUCUAUUUAAUUGAAGGAUCCAAUAAGAUUUUGUAUAUAUUUAAACUAAAGUUAAUUUCUGUUUGUUUUUUAAGUACUCCAGUGCUGUAGUAUCAAUUGGGUUGGCAUAUAAGGAUUAUAGUUGGUGGUGGAAGUCACAAUUGAGUCUUUCAGUCCAGAGUGUGACUUGACAAAAAAUUGUUAGAAAAUUAAUUUUGAUUAGGAAGAUGUUUUGCAAUAAAAAAAGGGUAAAAUACAAAAAAGUCCCCCGUGGGAAACCUAAUACAUAGAAAACCCCUUGUGGUUUCAAAAUAUACAACAUGACACCCCGUACUUUGAAUUAAAUUGUAAAGGUGACGGAAUCUGUUAAACUUAACAGAAAUGACUUAUUGAAACCUAAAAAAAAAAAUUAUACCUAAUUUUUAACAAAUAUACCUGUUCUACCCCUUAACCAUCAAUUCUCUCUAUCUAAAGAAUAAAACAAAUGAUUUUUUUGAUCUGUUUUUUGCUUAAUUAUAUCAUGGCAUUUUGGUCAUUUCGUCCAUUUUCGUUAAGUUUAAUGAAUUCCGUCAUCUUUAUAAUUUAGUUCAAAAUACGGAGUGUCAUGUUGUAUAUUUUGAAACUACGAGGGGCUUUUCUGUAUAUUAGGUUUACCACAUGGGGCUUUUUUAUUUUUUACCCUAAAAAAAAUGGUUCAGUUCUAAUUUGUAUAUGUAGAUUUGGAAACGUAGCAGUUCAUAUUUUUAUCUAACCUUGCUAUUUAUAUUCUAGAGUUGCAGGAUAAUGUUGUCAUCUUUAGGCGAGAUUUAAAUAGAUAAACUAGCUUAUUCCAUCAAAAGAAAGAAAAAUGUGAAAGUUUAUAGUAAGUUAUAUUUAUAUUGAAGAUUAUGCCAUGUCUUAAUGGCUUUCUAAACUUUUUCUCAUUAUUAAAGUACCGAAACAUUAUGACUACUUCUGGUUUAGUUACAACUAAAACUAUGUUGUUAUUAAUACAACAAUGCGUUUAUAGUGUAUUAAUUUUCUCUCUUUUUUUGGUAUCAUCAUAAUAGUAGUUCAAAAAUCUUUAUUCAAAUCAUAAUAAAUGGGGAGGUUGACUUCAUAGAUGAAAUCUCUCUUCACAACAAAUUUUGAGAAAAAUUUUAUUUAUACUCCAUAUUUUGUUAAUUGUAUUCCUACAAUAAAUAAAAACUAUAUGAUAAAAAUAAUAGUGAAAGUAUAAUUAAUAAAAAUGAGAAUUCAAAUAACAUUUUAUCAAUUUUAAUUGUUUUGAUGUUCAAUUUUUCUACUAUAUUUCUAUUCAUUCAUCACGUGCCAAAAUAAUUUGAUAAUAUAUGUUCGACUAAAUUUCUAGGACCAAGCUGUGUUUUGCACGCAGCUCAAGUAUCAUAAUAAUAAUAUUUUGUUUGAGUCGAAGGGCAAAACUGGAGGGAGGUGAGUCAGGUGACCCUAUAGAGCUAUGCCGUCCAUUUGGCUUCAGUUCCUUGACUCCUCCAAUCAUAUUUAUUGAGCCUGUCAAAAAAAAAUCAUAUAUGUCAGUUCCAGGUCUAUUCUCCCUUCCUUGGUCAUCGUCUCCACUGGUUAUCCACACAAAAACGCACCGCGUGGUGUGCCGUACGCCGGGCUCUUUUCCCUCCGGUGAUGUUACGUUAGCUUCAUGGUAAAAGGAUAUGGCUAGGCAUUUACCUUUAAAAAAGCUUUUCAAAUUUCAUAUUUUUUUAAGCUCAAUUUUAUGCUAAUUUCCACUCAAUUUUAUGCUAAUUUCCAUUCUAAACGAACGUGGUUUUGGUUUUGGACAGAAUGCCCUAAUGGCCAUCAAACUAUUAUGAAGUUUAAUUUUUGACCCUCCAACUAUUAAUUGAUAAGUUUUAACAUUCUAACUAAUUAAAAUAUAUAAUUCUAGCCCUUCCGUCAAUUCGAGUCGUUGUGUUGAAUAGAAAUAGCACAACGUGCAUAGCAAUGGCUCUCAAACUAUUAUAAAGUUCAACUUUGACCCUUUAACUAUUAAUUGAUAAAUUUUAGUUUUUCAACUAAUUAAAAUAUAUAAUUCUAACGCUUCUAUCAACAUGAAUCAUUAUGUCAAACUGAAACAUUACUACGUACACGGUAGGAACAUAACCAAGAGGUAUUUUCAUCUCCACAGGAUAUAUGUUAGAGUAAAAUUGUUUUACCUCUAUUUGACUCAUAAACUAAUUUACCAAAUCUCCAUUUGAUGAAAUGAAUCCAAAUCAAUUGAAAACCCAUAACCCAAAACCCUUGAUAGAGAAUUUUCAGCAAGGAUAGGCACCUUGAAGAAAUUGAAUUGUCUUCAUUUUGAAUUUAACUCAUUUUUCUGUGUUGUUUUAGACUCAUUGAAUUUAUGUGCUUCUCCUAAUGACAUAAACUUGGUAUAUAAUUGAUUGUUUGGGAAUAUUUUAGCAAGCCUUGGUUCCGUUUCAAGUUUGAACUUUCUAAAUCUCUCAAAUAAUUAAUUCUCUAGUGAGAUUCCUCCAAACUUGCAUUUUGGCCUUCUUGAUUUGUCAAACAAUAGGUUGGUUGGGCACAUUCUCGAAUCCUUUAUCAAUAGAUAUUUCUAUUCGACAUAAUGACUCAAGUUGAAAAAAAGGUUAAAAUUAUAUAUUUUAAUUAGUUGGAGAGCUAAAACUUAUUCGUUAAUAGUUAGAUAAUCAAAAUUUGAAUUUUGUAAUAGCUUGAGAGCUACAAGGGCAUUUUGACCAUCUCAUGAAUCCUGUAGCUCUGUUAGACAUAACGGCUGAAAUUGACGGAAGGGCUAGAAUUAUCUAUUUUACCUAGUUAGAGGGCUAAAACUUUUCACUUAAUAGUUGGUGGUCAAAAAUUGAAUUUCAUAAUAGUUUGAGGACUAUAAGGACAUUUGGCCAUUUGGUUUUUGAUUAUAAGGAAGGAUACUUAAUUCGAAAAAAACGUUCAAAACCUCUUUCACAUUUUGUAAAAUAAAUUUUUUCAUCCCUCAUGUUUAAAAGUGUAAUUUACGUCCAUCAUAAAUUCACAUUGGUCAAAUUUGGUUCCUACAUAAGUUUCCGACUAAUUUUUUAUCAAAAUCCACCAUGUGCCUUGCACGUGAUCAUUUUUAAGGAAAAAUUUGUCAAAUCAAAAUUUACAUAAUCCGAUCCAUAGUCCUUUACAUUUUACAAAAUAAAUUUUUUCGUCCCUCAUAUUUCAAAAAAUAAAUUUUUUCAUCCCUCACAUUUCACAAAAUAAAUCUUUCGUCCUACACAUUUCACAAAUUAAAUUUUUUCCCCUCUCACAUUUUACAAAUGAAUUUUUUUCAUCCAUAAUUGAUCAUGUGUACGAAUAAUUUUUUCCUUUAAACCCAUGUAUAUAUUUAUUUGAUUUUACCUAAAUAGUAUGAAUAGCAUGUAAUAUAUCUCUAUUUAAUUUCACAUGUUCAGACGAAUUCAAAUAGAUAUAUAUAUAUAUAUGUAUAUAUAUACGAGUUUAAAAAAAUUAUUAGUUUUUCAUUUAUAUUCAUUUCAUUUUACUUGAAAAUUGAAAACAAAUAAGAUAUUUAAUUCUAAACAUUAUCGAGUAUUUAUAUCGAAUUAAAUUUGGAUAGAAAAAAUAAACAAAGGAACACUAUAACAAAAAGAAGUAAAUGCUUAGCACUUUCAAAUUUUAAAACAAUCACAAGGUAAGUAAUUCAACUGAUAGUGUUAAAGGUAGUGAGUAGAAGUUUUAGAUUUAAAUUGCAAUUUGUUAGCAUAACUAUAGAAUUCGAAUUAGAACCCAUUAAUUGGAUGGCCUUAUUGUAUAAUGCAAUAAGUGAAUUAUUAUCAAAAGAGAAAAGGUUGUCAAUAUUGAAUAGGUUCACCUGGUGAAAUCAAAUAGAUAUAUAUAUAUAUAUGGAUUUAAAAUAAAAUUGUUAGUUUUAAACCUAUAUAUAUCUAUUAAAUAGCAUGUGUACAACUAUAAUUAGCCUAUUUAGGUGAAAUCAAAUAGAAAUACAUUACAUGUUAUUUGUACAAUUCAGGUGAAAUUAAACAGAUAUAUACAUGGAUUUUAAAAAAAAUAUUCGUACAUAUGGUCAAUGUAGGAUGAAAAAAUUCAUGUUGUAAAAUGUGAGGGAUGAAAAAAUUUAUUUUGUGAAAUGUGAGGAACUAUGGAUCGAAUUAUGUAAAAUUUGAUUUGACAAAUUUGACCCUAAAAAAUGAUCAUAUGCUAGGCACGUGGUGGAUUUCGACAAAAAAUUAGUCGAAAACUUAGAUAGGGAUCAAAUUUAACCAAAGUAAAUUUGUAAAGGACGUAAAAUUACACUUUUAAGAGUGAGGGAAGAAAAAAGUCAUUUUAUAAAAUGUGAGGGACGUUUUGAACAAUUUUUUCCUUAAUUCUACAACCCUUGACUACUUUUCAACAGUUUUGUUAGAUUGGACCGGCCAAACAGUCCAAUCAUGAACCAACCUCCUUCCCAAACUGGUUAGUAGCAUAAAAUCGUUUUGAUUAAAAAAAAAAUCAAUCAAAAUCGUAAAAAAUCGUUCAAACUAGUAACCUGAUUCAACUUCUUGACCCGGUUCACAAACUUUUCUUUCUUGUUUUUCUUAAAUACAAUUUGAGUUACCUCAAUUGUAAAACUUUCAUUUAUUAAUUGGAAUAAGAAAAUGCCACCCACUUUGUGUAAACAUCAAAAUCACUUGCUUCUUAAAUGAUCUCUAAAUCAAAAAGUUUUCAUUUCUAUCAUCUUAUCAAAUUAUCAUCAGUGAUUCCAACUUACAUUAUAAAGCCAUAUUCCUAACAAAAAAUCUUGAAUUGGGUAUAAUUUGUUUUAAUUUAGUUUUUGAAGUCAUUUUGGAGAAUGGACAUAGUUUAACAUGAAUUUACAUUUAUAUAUAUAAUUUUUUGACAUAUAUUUGAUUGCAAAACUAAUAUUUUUGUAAUAUUUUGCAUGGUUGGUCGAAUAUAACCAAAAACUUAGUUUCAAUAUUUUUGAAACUUAUAAAAAUAUUUAAAAAGUAUGACAUCAUACUGAUGUUAGCGAAUUUUUGAGAAUAAUUCGAUUGAUCCGAUCAGUUGAUCCCUAACGGGUUAGUUUGGCCGAAUUUAGCAACCUUGCUUUCCAAACUUGAUUUGAGCUUUCUUGGACGCAAACAUGUUUGAAAAUCAGGAGCAAAACAGUAGUUAUGUGACCAUUGGGAUCCUUGGAUUGACUUAUAAAUUCUUUCUUUUUCCCCUUUCUCCUUAAAAGGGUUGGAGUCUCCCCUUGUAUUGGAAAAAAAAAAGUAGUAUAUCUACAUGAGCGAGAAAAAAUAAACAGUGAUUUGAUUAGUUGUAUAAGAAAUGAGAUAGAGAAUGGGAAACUCUUUUUAAGCACUUAAGUGAACCUAGAAUUUCUCUUAAGAAGUAACUUGGCGUCCAUUGGGUAGUGUUUAUUAAAAGAAAGAAACUAGCGCAUCCAAGUUAAAAUCCUCGUGCUGCGAAUCACAUGCAAGAUUUAUGCAUGCAUGCCUACUAAAUUAGUAAAUUGAUAAGCUUGUACCAAUCAAGGUGUCAAAGGACUAUAUUUAAUCGUGGCAGGAUUUGAGCCAAUAAUUUUAGAAAUGAAAAUGACUUUUGAAAAAAAUUCAAAUCCCAGCUCAAAUUGAGUUGACGUGAUAUGACCCGAUCUAAACUGCAAACAUGGUUAUGCAACUUCAAAAGCAACUAGGCAGGCCUUAAAUGCCCGCGCUGGGCUGUUCGGGUGGUGAAGGCGGAGUUUUUACUCCAAAUUUCCCUGGAUUCGAUUCUAGCCCGCAACUCAAUUGUUUACAGUUUUAGACAUCGGUCGUAUUCGCUCUGUUUGGGCGCUGUGGGAUUAGUCGGGUGCUCUCAGAUACCCACAAUAUCAAAAAAAAAAACUAGAUAGGCCUUAAAUCAAAUAUACCGUGUUUGGAUAAGAGAUUAGUUGAGAUAUUAUUUGAGAUAUUUAUUGUAAUGUUUUUAUGAUGUGAUAUAUGUUAGAUUAAUAUAUGAUUAAAAAACGUGUUUUUGAUACAAGUAAAUAAAAUUUUAUAAAUAAUAUGAUAUCUAAAUAAAUUAUUUAAAAUAAUUAUUAUAGCACUUUUCAUGACAUGGCUUAUGUGAAAUAAAAAAUAUAGUUAAGAAUAUUAAAAAAGUGGCUAUAAUAUGUAUUUACAAUACUUUUAAAAAUUUCUCCAUCCAAGCCACUAUUUCACACUAGUUUUUAAUUUUGGGCAAAAGCCAAUUGAUUAAAGAAAUGGAUCCUAUGCAAGUAAAGGAGAUUUCCGGGUCUACCUGUGACAACCAAAAGUUGGCCCGAAGCGGUGUAGCCGCCAUGGUGGGGCAACCUAUAUGUGCCUUUAUAGCUGUCGGAAAACAAUGGUACAGGCCUACCUUGAAUGACCAAAAACUACUUUGUAGAACUUUUCUUUUUGUUUAUCGUUUUUUUUUUGGGAAAGAAGAUAUGCACAAAAGACAUCAAUCCGGCUGCUACUAUAGUGCAUGAGUUUAUUCCUAGGUGUUGAAGUAAUAAUUUUAGUGCUGCCCAGCAAUAUUUCACAUAAUGGCAAAAUCUCCCCAGGUGAUAGUGAACAUUUUCUGUUUUAAGGACAUUAUGGUCAUUUUAAUUUAGAUUGAUAUGCUAUUGCCAAGGCUGCACCGCUUCCGUUUGGAUUGGUCAAUUUUUCAAAAAUAAGCUUUUCAAAUACAAUAGUACAAUAAUGCACAGAUAAUAAUAACUUAAAAAAUAUCUCAUCCAUACUUUUUUUGGGAAAUAUUAACAGAUAACUCAUCCAUGUAAUAUAUCAAAAAUAAUUCAUAAAUAUACACAAAAGAAUUAAAAAAAAUGAAUAUUACAACAUUUUUCACCCAUCACCUCACCCACCUCUGCCACCACCCCUCCCUCCUCCUCCUCCCCUUCUCUUCCUCGCCAUCCCUCAAUCCUUCCCUCUUGACCAGAUCGAGGCCUUUGGUCAUGACCAGAAGGUUGCGAUUCUGGUUGCGAUCUGGCCACGACCAGAUCGAGGGGAGAGGGAGAGGGAGAGGGAGAGAGGAGGAGGAAGAGGGAAGGGAGAAGAGGGAGGAGGAGGAGAAAGCAGGACGGAGAGUGUGGUGGCGGUGAUGGGUGGGGGGUGAAGGUUGUGGUUGUGGGUGCUAGAAUUAAUUUUUAAAAAGUAUUCUAAAAAUAUUUUAAUUUUAAAAGGUGCCCCAAAAUAUAUUCUAAAAACCUCUCCAAAAACAUCUACAGUAAAAAUUUUUCAUAUACAUUGUUACAGUAAAAUAUUUUAACAACACUCCCAAAGAUAGCAAAUCCAAAAAAAAAAUUACUUGAGUGUGUUUGGAUUGCUAAAUUAUUCUAAAUAAUAUUUCACUUACAUCAUAAACAUAUUUCCUAAUCCACUUUUUUAUAUUUCCAACUACUUUUUUAUCUCACACACAUCACAUCACAAAAAGUGCUACAGUAAUUAUUCAAAUAAUACUUUAAUUUGGGCACUAAUUAUAUCUAGCUUAAAGUUUAUGUCAAUAUCCACAAUACAUCUUAAAUGCCGUUUGUGGACGCUUUACUUAGGCUCUGUGUUUGAUAAUCCAAUUCAAUACCUAAAACUUAAUAGGUUCAAAUUUUAACAUGUUUAGAUGCAUUUGAUAAUAAAAAAUAGAACAUCUGAAUUGAUUAAGUAAUAUUGAAUUUUCCAAAUAAAAAUUGAUCCAAAAAAUGAGUGACAAGCUAUUCACUUAUUAGUUAAUAUGAUAUAUAUAUUCAAAUAUAUUAGAUUUAGUUCCUAUUUGAUAAUCCAAUUAGCAUUUAUAUUUAAUGGAUUCAGAUGCAUUUAAUAAUAAAAAAUUAAAUAUCUAAAUUAAUUAAGUGGCAUUGAAUUUUUUAAGCAAAACUUGUUCCAAAAAAUAGGUGAUAAGUAUUAAUCACAGCCUUCUUGUGAUUGUCCCUAUGGGUUUGAAGGAGUUAAACUGUCGUUAUUCAAUUAUCACUUAACGUGAUAUACACUCAAAUAUCAAAUUUAGUAUUUAAUAAUUUAAUAACUUAAUGGAUUUAAAUUUCAAAUUUUAGAUUUUAGAUUUUAGUUUUCAGAUUUCAAAUUUAUCAAAUGCAUCCAGAGUACUUAACAAAUAGUAACUUAAUAAGAAUUUAGAUUUCAAUUUUCACACUUCAACUUUAUCAAACACAGCUUUAGUAAACUUUUAUAUGGAACUCACCCUAGUUGAGUAGUUAAGGAUUUUAGAAAAGCUUACGGAAAAUAGCGUGUAUGCAUGGUUUCCUGCAAUUAAUUGUACUUUACAUCAUUAACCUUUUGAUUAAUUUGCACAUUGUUCCCCAAACAUCAGUUUUGAACCUUUUGCGCCUUAAAAUAUUUAACUGUCUCACUGUAGUCCAAUCGUUAAUGGCAUCAAAAUUAGACAAAGUUAUGGACAGAUAUACAUUUGAUUUAGCUCUGGCAAAGAAAGUUUAUAAAAUGCAAAACCUACAUCUACCCAUGAAUAGUUUUCAAUUAGAGUGGUACUCCCUCCCCUACUCCUACAUCUAGUCGAAUUUCUUUCUUUUCUUUCAACCAAUAAAUUUUCAGCAAAUGGCCUUUAAUUAUUUUUUUUUUAAAAAUUAUUUCUGCAUUGGAAUUUUCUUUAUGGAAAAUUUUAUAUCGGUCGGAGCAACUAUUAGGUAUAAGAAAAGGACAGGCACCUAUUUUAUCUAUGGAUUUGGAGAUGAUUGGAGUACUAGUUUUCUAUUUUGGCAAUAUACAUACAUAUAGCUUUGCCCACACUAUAAACAACUAGUUAGAUUAAAAGCAAACAAUUUGUUUUUACUAAUUUUCUUGAGCAAUUUCUUUUUUCAAUAUUUAAUAUCUUAAUGCUUUACAACUAUCAAAGGAACAAUAUCUAAUGGAAAUUUAAAAUUACUGACAUGGUGAAACGCUAAUUUUAAUUCCUUGUAACAAAUACUCAUGUGCAUAUCAUUAAUUGAUUUCUUAGAUGUUCUUAACAAUUGAAAUAAAGUGGACAAAUAAGACACUUAAAGCUACCAAAAAAGAAAUCUGAAAAAUUAAAAUUUGGAGUGCAUAAUGCUAAGCAAGGAAGUAUGGAAAGUAAAAAUGUGAUGCUAAUUAGCUGUUAUUUUAUUGUUGAUUAUGCGUAAGGCCAUCAUCUAUUGGACCAAAGUCAGUUUAAUAAAGCAUUUAAGGUGCAAAAUGUCCAGAUUAAAACUUAGGGAAUGUGAUAAUCGGUGUAAAAUUAUGACAGUACUCUAAUCCUGAUUAAGGGUCUUAAUAACCACCAAUGACCACCUAAGAGUAAUCUAUCACAAAACAUGCUACCACUUAAAUUUCUUUGCAAGUGAAUCCGAGUCUACCUUAGAAAACAAGAAUGAGUAACUCUUAUGUCUUGUUCUCAAGAAAUUGGUUUAUUCUGAAUACCAUGAGAAUAUUCCAAAUAGCAAAUCUCCAGCAGAUAAUUAACUUAAUAUCUCGAAGUAAAAAAACUGAAUCCUUUUAAUUGUUCAUCUUUGGUGAAUGACAAGAAGGGUUCAUUCUCCACAAAAAAAAAAAAAAAACAGAAUACAGAAAUAAACAUAUAAAUGCCUUUUCUACGUUAUCUAACUAAAAUAAAAGUUUUAUUAUUAUCUCAAUAAAAGUUUAUCACCUCGGUCUUGCCCUUUUAAAUGUUUUUUUUCCCAUAAAUGUUCUACGUAUCGUUGAAUUUGGAUGGAAAAGUAUGUAAGAAAUCAAAUUUAACAACUUCUUGUUGAAAGAGAAAUGUUACUACUAAUUUUUUUUGGGGGUAUAAUCAUGAGAAUUCAACAAGGGUUGUACACAUGUUAGUUUAAUAUCAAAUGUGUAAUAGAAACGAACAUACUAAGCACUAGGAAUUUGGUUAUGGAACGACAAUUAUGCCAUGAUCUUGGAGUACCUCAAGGACCAGAUAUGCAAUCCCGCUUGCAGCCCUAACUUUGUUCAAUCCAAGAAAUAAAAGGUACUCAAAAUCCAAAAUCCAACCUUGAAUUAUUUGCUAUAAUAGAGGAAACAAAAAAGGUGGGGGGUUUUUGGGGGAGGGGAGGGGCGGGGGAAGCAGAGGAAAGAUGAUGAUGAUUUUAUCCAGUCUUGGAAUCAAAGACAAGAAGCAAAUAAUCGAAAAUCAUAAUAGAGAGUUUGUUUGUUUGGUGAACAUGACUUUGCUUCUUGCAAAUUCCCCUUUAUACCGUGUUACAUGUGGCAAUAGAAAUGAUCCAAAAGAGUAUCUUUCCAUCUCCAAGCAAUCCAAAGCCAAUUUUUCUUGGUCCUCAAUGAUCCAUUCUUCUAAAGCUUGCCAUUUACUAAUUACUACUACUAUAAUUGUUGAGCGUCACCAAUUACUUGCUUCUUUCUAACUAGAAAUUAAAAGAUUACGUGAUAAGAAAAGUCAAGAGGAAAGUGCAGUAAAAAAGAAUGGAUUAGAAACAUAAUGUGCACAUUAUUGGAUGUGAAAGUGACCUUCGCGUUUCACAUCAAUGCCCCUCUGUCCUAAAUGCAUAAUUCUCUGUCAGUCAAUGCCGUGCAAAGAAACACUUUUGAUUUUCCAACUAUGAAAUGAUUGCAGUAGAGCGUCUAAUUAAGGUUAUGAAUCUCACUACUGUUAUUUUGAGUAGGGUUGCUUUUUUCAAAAGAAAAAAGCGAAAAGAAAAAAGAGAGAGUUGUUAAUCACGGUACUAUCAUUUUCAAUCUGUGAGAAUUCUUGGAUAGAAAGUGGCCUGGACGGAGCGUUUGGAAUUUUCAGAUGGAUUAGGUGUUUAACUGGUCAUUCAAAACCUGUUUUUCCACAAGGCAAAUAAAUGAGGCAGAGGAGUCUGUACUACGCUCGCAUGGAUAUUAAACAUCUCAAGCUGAAAGCAAUAUACGUAGGUGUUAUUUACUUGUUAAUAUCAAGGCUAUUUUGUCACUGAGACCCACGUAAGUAAGCCGUACACAUACGUAUAAGGAAAACAACAGAAGUCGUUAUAUAUAUGUACAAGGAAAAUCUUACAUUAAACGACAUGCGACUUACAUGACAAAUACAAACAAAAUCACGACUCACCUGUUUAAUUUGAGGAAUUCUUACGCUUGUAUCCGUCGCUUAUAUAUAGAUAUCCUGAUUUUGAGUCGCUCUUUGUACUUAAACUUUAAAGGGUUUGUUUGGAUUGUAAGUUAUUUGAGAUAUUUUUACUGUAACAUUUUUUGUGAUGUGAUGUAUGUGAGAUAAAAAGGUGUAUUGAAAAUUGUAGUGAUAAUGUAAGUAAAUAUAUUUGGAAAAAUAAUCAGCUGUUUAUGUAUAAAUACAUAAUGCAUUUUGCCUUAUUCUUGGGUUCCAUUUACUCUCUUGAGUUAUUCCAAUGUAAUACGGAACUUGCAUUGGAUCCCAGACUUUCAAGGAUCUUCAUUUCUUCUUGGUGUGAAUUGUAAUGUCAAAACAAAAUUGGAGGUGUAUUCAUUAGGUCGUUCAUUAACUAAUAAUAUGUACGUAAAAUUUUGACUUUUUAACAUGAGGGACACAUGCAUUUGUGAAGUCAUGAAUGUGUUUGUUACUCACAUUGGCAAUCAUAUGCAACUCCAUGUGAUCACAUACUAGACCAUUUUGGUAAACCUUCUCUACUGUUUGUUUCCAUUUUUUUUCCAUCUUUUCACCUGACAUGCAGCUCGAGGAAUUACGAAGCAGCCUUUGUCUUUCUUUCCCUUUCCUUGGAACUUUCCUUUUUUCUGUCUUAUGAUCAUCUCAUAUUUUCCAGUUCUUGCAAGUUUCCUUUGAAUGAUUCUGAGGUACUCAUGGUGACUUCCACAAAGUGGGACAUUUAUGUUGGAAGCUGUAAUACUUACCCUUUUGCUCUCUUUUUCCCUUUUCAUUUCAUCAGAGCCACCAACCAAAUGUCUGCUAAGGAAAUUGACUGAAUGUGGCCGCAAACAAUUCUCUCAUUAUGGAGAAAUCACAUGCCCUUAUCAAAAAAAAAAAAAAAACAGUAGAAGAUAAUCUGUCAUCGUGGAGGAAAUUGUGGUACCAAAAAGUCAUUCUGUACCAAGAAUAUAUAUAAUGAGCCAAGUCCAGUUCUUCCCUCUUGGCUAAAGGUGUGGAACACAUUAUCUGGCAACUACGUAAUGAAAGGGAAACUUCUCUGUCGGUUUACUUUUUGAAGGAUGAUAUAAAAACGAUCAAAGAGCAAUCAAGUAAUCUUGUAGAUUCCUGAAAUUGCAAAAGAAAAUUAAACACAAAACUAAGCAUUUUUAGUGCUCAUUUAAGUCAAGGUUUCUCGUGUCAUUAACUUUAGGCCUUGUUUGACAAGCCAGUUUUUGGCCAAAUUGUCUGCUAUGAGUUUUUAAACAACUUCAACUAUAGUAAUCUCAAAAAAUUUCUCAAAAAUUUUAAACUAUACAAUUCAAAAUAUCCCAAGAGUUACACACUUCAAAAAUUUUUUCUACAAUUUUUACAUUAAAUUACAGUAAAAUUUUAAACAAACAUUCAAAACACUCACUUGCCAAACGAGGCCUGUUAAUAAUGCUUAAACAUCUUUGACUAAUCUUCACACAAUGAAUUCCGGACCAUAUAUAUGUUCAAAAAUGUGGGGUGUGACUGAAGUUUAAAAAAUAAGUUUUUUUUUUUUUAAGAAAAAAAGGAUAGCAAGGACGAAAGAGCAAGGGAGAUCCAGGAGAAAUGAUUGAUCUCAGUAAUCAAUCAUGAGAAGGUGCAUGGCAGCAACACAAAAAUCAAAUUUUUAAUUGUGGUUGGAAAGUGGAAUUAUUUAAAAUUGUGCAACUACUCCCUCACUUCUAUGCAUGUUGUACCUGCAACGGCACGCACGUUGGCAUUUUAUGCAAUGUAGCAGGUGACUAGUUCUUAGCAAACCUAUGAACUGAAAAAUAAAACUGAAUUAGGGUGAAGUUAAUUAAUAGGCAAACUCAGUUUAAGUGAUCAAACUAUUUGGUGCUUCCAGCUGGAGAGUUGAUUGUAAAAAUUUACUACAAAAAAACUAACAAAGAAAUUGUAAUGGUCCCUGAUUGACAGCUUUCUUUUAACGACUAGUUCUUUCUCUUUUGCUGUAUAAAUAAUUGACACAUUGGAUGCAAAAGAUGUAGCCUCUCAACUAAAGCACUAAAAUUUGUGCUCUUCUGACUAUUCUAACUACUCCUCCAGCUCCAGGUUCCUUCAUCUUCAUCAUCAGAGGUGGUGCAGGGCUUCAACAUUGGCUGCACAGGAAGAGUUUUCCGGCGAGAAAUGAGGCUUCGAGGCGGCGACCCCGCCAGGGGUCGUCUGUUGCUAGUGGCAUUGGCCAUUUUGGGUGUUUCAGUGGUGGUCUCAGCAGACCCUUAUGAGCACAAGUCUUCUCCACCACCACCAUAUGAGUACAAGUCUCCACCACCACCCUCACCUUCACCUCCACCAUAUGAAUAUAAGUCUCCUCCCCCACCACCAUAUGAGUACAAGUCUCCACCACCACCCUCUCCUUCACCACCACCAUAUGAGUACAAGUCUCCUCCCCCACCACCAUAUGAGUACAAGUCUCCACCACCACCCUCACCUUCACCUGCACCGUAUGAAUACAAGUCUCCUCCCCCACCACCAUAUGAAUAUAAAUCUCCUCCCCCACCACCAUAUGAGUACAAGUCUCCACCACCACCCUCUCCUUCACCUGCACCAUAUGAAUACAAGUCUCCUCCACCACCACCAUAUGAAUAUAAGUCUCCUCCCCCACCACCAUAUGAGUACAAGUCUCCACCACCACCCUCUCCUUCACCUCCACCAUAUGAGUACAAGUCUCCUCCCCCACCACCAUAUGAGUACAAGUCUCCACCACCACCCUCACCUUCACCUGCACCGUAUGAAUACAAGUCUCCUCCCCCACCACCAUAUGAAUAUAAGUCUCCUCCACCACCCUCUCCUUCACCUGCACCAUAUGAAUACAAGUCUCCUCCACCACCACCAUAUGAAUAUAAGUCUCCUCCUCCACCUUCACCCUCUCCACCACCACCAUAUGAGUACAAGUCUCCACCACCACCCUCUCCUUCACCUGCACCAUAUAAAUACAAGUCUCCUCCACCACCACCAUAUGAAUAUAAGUCUCCUCCUCCACCUUCACCUUCACCUGCACCAUAUAAAUACAAGUCUCCUCCACCACCACCAUAUGAAUAUAAGUCUCCUCCCCACCACCAUAUGAGUACAAGUCUCCACCACCACCCUCUCCUUCACCUGCACCAUAUAAAUACAAGUCUCCUCCCCCACCACCAUAUGAGUACAAGUCUCCACCACCACCCUCUCCUUCACCUGCACCAUAUAAAUACAAGUCUCCUCCACCACCACCAUAUGAAUAUAAGUCUCCUCCUCCACCUUCACCCUCUCCACCACCACCAUAUGAGUACAAGUCUCCACCACCACCCUCUCCUUCACCUGCACCAUAUAAAUACAAGUCUCCUCCACCACCACCAUAUGAAUAUAAGUCUCCUCCUCCACCUUCACCCUCUCCACUACCACCAUAUGAGUACAAGUCUCCACCACCACCCUCUCCUUCACCUGCACCAUAUGAGUACAAGUCUCCUCCCCCACCACCAUAUGAGUACAAGUCUCCACCACCACCCUCACCUUCACCUGCACCGUAUGAAUACAAGUCUCCUCCCCCACCACCAUAUGAAUAUAAGUCUCCACCACCGCCCUCUCCUUCACCUGCACCAUAUGAAUACAAGUCUCCUCCACCACCACCAAUGAAGCCUCCACAUCCACCAUACUACUAUAAUUCUCCACCACCACCAGUGAAGCCUCCACAUCCGCCAUACUACUAUAAUUCUCCGCCACCACCAGUUAAGCCACCACAUCCACCAUACUACUACACUUCUCCUCCACCACCACCAAUGAAGCCUCCACAUCCACCAUACUACUAUAAUUCUCCACCACCGCCAAUGAAGCCUCCACAUCCGCCAUACUACUAUAAUUCUCCACCACCACCAGUUAAGCCACCACAUCCACCAUACUACUACACUUCUCCUCCACCACCACCAAUGAAGCCUCCACAUCCACCAUACUACUAUAAUUCUCCACCACCGCCAAUGAAGCCUCCACAUCCGCCAUACUACUAUAAUUCUCCACCACCGCCCUCUCCUUCACCUGCACCAUAUGAAUACAAGUCUCCUCCACCACCACCAAUGAAGCCUCCACAUCCACCAUACUACUAUAAUUCUCCACCACCACCAGUGAAGCCUCCACAUCCGCCAUACUACUAUAAUUCUCCACCACCACCAGUGAAGCCUCCACAUCCACCAUACUACUACACUUCUCCACCACCACCAGUUCCUUACCACCCCCACCCCCACCACCCCAUGCUCGUUAAGGUAGUUGGAAAAGUUUACUGCUACAGAUGCUACGACUGGGACUACCCAAAGAAAUCCCAUGACAAGAAACAUCUCAAAGGUACGUCUUCCCUCUCCAUUCCAUAUCUGCUGAAAUUUUUUCUGCUUGCAAGAUGACAUCAUUUUUUCUUUUUAAUCCAAUUAAAAAAAUUAAAAAUCCCAAUCCUUAAAUUGCAACAUAUUUUAAGUCAACUUCCAUGAUGAUUGUAAUAGAUUUUGGUACAGAAACGUUCCUUAAACUUGAAAAUGAAAUGGGUUACGUUAGUAAUUCUGAAAAUGAAGGUUGGUCCAUUCUUUGAAAGCAAUUUUUGCUUUUCUUUUGUUAUUUGCAACAGCAAAAAGAAUACUUUAACGUAAAUGAGAAAAAAGUUUGAUGACAUAUUCUUGAAUUUAUGCAUAUUUAGUAAUUUAUGUCAUGAUUAAGCAGUCAAUUAAACAACCGUUAAUUGUUGUGUGUUUGUCUCAUAAAUUCCUGGAUCCCAAUUGAAAAGGUUGCUUUGUCAUACGGGAGACAACUUUUGUGUACAAAUCAUGGCAUCUUUGACUACGUAGUCCAAAUAUAAUCAUCCACGUUAGAGUAUCAUUUUAUUGAAUAAAAACUGUGUCCAGAUCGUUAAGCUUGACAUUUUUUAUAUGUGAAGUUAUAAUCAAUAGCCAUGUGUUAGAAAAGUAGAAUAGUUUUUAAAUUGGAAAAAGACAAAUUAGUUGUUGGACUAAGUGCUUGUGGCAGCUGGAGAUCCCAAAUUUUUCCAAUAGAUUAUCAGUUUGUCCAACAUUUGGUACUGACUAAUAUUAAUUUUCAUUUUAGUAAUCCAAAAAGAAAAAAAAAACAAGAAGAGCAUAAUUGCGAAAACCCGAAUAUGAUUUUAAUUAUUUCUAUCCACCAAUAAUUGUAGUUUUGAAUUUUCUGUCUACACAUUGUGCAGGAGCUGUAGUAGAGGUUACGUGCAAGGUUGGUGACAAGAAGAUUGUGGCAUAUGGAAAAACUAAGAUUAAUGGAAAGUACAGCAUCACACUUGAAGGGUUUGAUUAUGGCAAAUAUGGAGCUAAGGCAUGCAUGGCUAAGCUGCACAUGGCGCCAAAGGAUUCCAAAUGCAACAUUCCAACCAAUCUCCACUGGGGCAAAACGGGUGCUGAACUCAGAGUCAAGUCCAAGACUGACUAUGAAGUCGUGCUCUACGCAAAACCAUUUGCUUAUGCUCCCAAGACUCCUUAUGAGGAAUGUGAGAAGCCCAAGCCAACUCCUGCUCCUUACCACUACAUAUCUCCUCCGCCACCAACUUAUGUCUAUAAAUCACCACCACCUCCACCACCAACUUACCUAUACAAGUCACCGCCACCACCAGUGAAACCUCCACCAAAGCCGUAUUAUUACGUCUCCCCACCACCACCAACUUAUGUCUAUAAAUCACCACCACCUCCACCACCAACUUACCUAUACAAGUCACCGCCACCACCGGUGAAACCUCCGCCAAAGCCGUAUCAUUACGUCUCCCCACCACCACCUACUGUAUCUCCACCGCAUUAUUACUACACAUCACCACCACCACCGGUGAAACCUCCGCCAAAGCCGUAUCAUUACAUCUCCCCACCACCACCGGAGAAAUCUCCACCACCACCCUAUCCUUACAUCUCCCCGCCACCGCCGGAGAAAUCUCCACCACCACCCUAUCCUUACAUCUCCCCACCACCGCCGGAGAAAUCUCCACCACCGCCCUAUCCUUACAUCUCCCCGCCACCGCCGGAGAAAUCUCCACCACCACCCUAUCCUUACAUCUCCCCGCCACCGCCGGAGAAAUCUCCACCACCACCCUAUCCUUACAUCUCCCCGCCACCGCCGGAGAAAUCUCCACCACCACCCUAUCCUUACAUCUCCCCACCACCGCCGGAGAAAUCUCCACCACCACCUUAUCCUUACAUCUCCCCGCCACCGCCGGAGAAAUCUCCACCACCACCCUAUCCUUACAUCUCCCCGCCACCGCCGGAGAAAUCUCCACCACCACCUUAUCCUUACAUCUCCCCACCACCGCCGGAGAAAUCUCCACCACCUCCAUACCACUACACCUCACCUCCCCCACCCGAAAAAUCACCUCCUCCACCAGUCUACACUUAUGCUUCUCCCCCAC
rnacentral:lncRNA from 1 species